CAAUGAUGGUCCAGAAGAGGUCGAUCAAACAAUUGAUUUUAAUGAAUACACGCAGCGUGGGGAGACGUACACUGGAAACCAUCAGUUGUAAAUCCCCAACCAAAAAUACACUUCAGAUUGUUUUUAUAUUGUCAGGGUAUUAUAACGCCCCCUCAUGCGUUUACAAGCACAUAAUUUGCAUCUUAAGAACAUUCUUUGCCCCUUGUACAGACAAUGAUCUAUUCUAAGAGAUAAAUGCAGACACAGAAGUUCCCCUUUCUGGCAUCCUCCAAAUAUGGUGAUGAUCUCAGGCCUUUGAGGUCCCCAUGGACUUGUCCUCCUUCUGUCACCUGUUGCUAGGCAAACUCAAAUGCAACAAGAAGCUGAAUACAUUCAGGCCUUCACUCAAGCCUGCUUCUUGAUUAUAUGUAUUAUUACAAAUGCUUGUUAUGUGGUUUAAUGCAAUGUUAAUUAAUGCAAUGAUAGUGCCAAUAAUAAGUAUAAGUAGCAGUAAAAUAUUCCUUAUUCCACACUCCCUCUUUUGACCCUGUUCACAAACAGGGUCACCACACUCCGUUGAGUCACUCUUCAACCCACUCUGUCACCUCUGGAUCCAUUAAUGACAUCAUGGGCCCCGAAACCACCAUUCCCAGGUCCACUGCCUUCGCUCUGACCCUCUCUAGCCGUCCCCUGACUCAGCAAAUCAGACGAUAACCUCAUGUCAUCUAGGUGGUCCAGUAAUAAAACGCCAGCUCCCACUUGAAAACACUUCAUGCUUAAGUGGUCUCUGCUCCUUUCCUGGGUCCCUCUCUAAUGGAAAUCUAAUGGAAUGGACCCUCGUCAUCAAUCACUAAGUAAACUGAAUUGGCGCAGGUCUCAAAUAAGAAGCAGAAGACACUUGGGCCCUCGCUCAGGCCUGCUACUAGAUUUAUGUGUAUUGUAAGCAUGCAUGCAAUUAACCUGCUAUGUUCUCAUCUUCCCUCAACAUGUAUCACCUGGACACUCUCACCAGUGAAGCUUAAAACCCUCUUGGAUAGAACAUCAACUCUAAACGAGCACAGAUAUGCAAUGUGUAUAAAAUGAACUAAACCUGUGAAUAGAAUGAAUGUGUUGACAAACAUAUUCAAUGCAAUAUGAACCCUGUAAACAAUAUUACUGAUAAACAAUGCUGUAAAACAUGUUCUUACUGCAAUCAUAAUAAUGCAGAUUAUAUAGUAGGAAUAAAAGAAUUUCUGAAUCCCCACAUUCCCUCUUCUGACAUUCCGACAAGGAAUGUCACCACACCUUAUGUUGUAUCACUCCCUGCCCCACUCUAUGGGUUCUUAGUUCAUCUAAUAGAUGCCCUCAACCCAGCCAGGGUUCGCAACCCUCGCCAUUAUCUUUACCAACAAUCCUCUGACACAAGGAAUGAUACAACAACUAGCGAUGACCAGUAUUCCCAAAAAUACAGUCAAAGAAAACAUCACUGACAUAGCCACACCUUUCCAUUGUCCAAACACAGAUGCCAUCCAGGACGCCAGCAGAUUUUCGAUACCUGAGUGCUCAUGCAUGGUUUUAGACAAUUCGAUUUUGCUCUCCCGUCAGUGAACUCAGACCCAAUUGUUCUGCGAACCCCAUCAUGGCGUCCCUGGUUUGGUUAGAGAGUCUCAGCAGGUUGUAAUGAACAUAAUCCGGCCAACAUUUUUAUUAGGCGUUACCCAAAGAAAUAUACUCUCCAAUCCUACAGCUACCUGACUUACCAGCUUGUACUCAUUAGGAACUCCCCUGGGCACUCCUAUGGAGUCUAUCCAGGUCGGCGAGUUCAAACGAGGAUCAUAUGCAUGGGUACCCUGGGUCCCUCUUUUGGCCAAAAUGUAUCUCUUACAUAUGGCAGCUAAAGUUCGCGUGUUAUGUUGUGAAAUAGCCUUUACCUGGUUUCCAAUAAGCAUGAGCGAAGCUCCCAAUCGCACCAUCGCACAUGUCCCUACACUUCCCAUAGGAACACUAGUACUUUCCCCACAGUAAUAAUAGAGCCCACUUCUUGCCCAUGUUCCAAUUACCGUGUUUGGGUCGCUUACAUUGUUGGUGAUUCGUCCCGUGAGUGUGACAGCACACCAAGUUGGGUCGAUCUCUCCCACCUUGUACUUUUCAUUAUCUGUAGAAAGCUUGAAACAUAUAAUUAUCUUAUUUUAGCAUAAAUGGUCCCACUGCUGUCUGCUUUGAAAUGGUAGGGAAAAGUCUGGACAACAAAAUACAGUUGCCAGUAGUCACUGCACUUCUAGUUAACGGUAACAUACAAUCAUAGCCCCACUCAUCCUCUAAUGCAAUGGUGCGGGCUCUGUAAACAACCGUGACCUAGCUGAAGCACAGGCAACACAGUCAGAUACAUGUUGUUCUCUAGCAUUUUGAGCCACCCAAUCAAGCCAGAAGUUACUGUCCUUGAAACCCGUGGCGCGCUUUAUCAACUCCUUAGGCUUCCGUCUAAAGUAAUCUGUUGUCAGAAGUACUCUCCCUUUUGGUUCCUGUUCCUUUUGAGCUACUGUUCCCGAAGUUACCAUCUGAUCAGUCAGAGUGGUGAUUAAGCUUUCUGCGAGCGGCUUAGACUUUGCAUCAACUAAAUUUACCCUAAGCAUAUCAUGGGGUGAUUCCAGACCCGUAGAUCAUACGCUCUUCCAGCUACUACUAGCUCCUGUACACUUAAUGACGUCACACAAAUCAAACAUGAAUGAGCUGGUAGACCCUUUACCAUAAUUCAACUCUAUGCCAUUAUUCAUGCUGAGACACUCAUCACCUUUACCUGACACCUCGCGCUUUUGUCUUUUUUACCGAUCCCGUUUUAGCAACUACAGUCUCAGGAAGUGCUGGGCUGGACUGGCCUCCGUGUUCAGACAAGUGGUCCGGAGUGCCCUGCAAAAUAUAGACAAUAAACAACACAGCCAUAGUUAAUAUCAUUGCAUACAAUAAACAUGUAGUUGUAAGGAACGUUCUAAUCAGUUUUCUCAUUACGUGUCUCUGAUUCGUGUGUUUGCAUCAUGUUAUAUAAACUUUGUAUACUUUGUAGUGCAUUAUGCUAAACAAACAAAACCUUUCAAUUCCCCAACCCUAUCUGUCUCCUCAACGGGUUGUAUGUUUUCAAUGUUUCCUUAUUAUUUUGUCAUAAA
ensembl:lncRNA